GGAAUAUUGGGCAAUGGGCGAGAGCCUGACCCAGCCAUGCCGCGUGCAGGAAGAAGGCUUUCUGAGUCGUAAACUGCUUUUGACAGGGAAGAAUAAGCGCUACGUGUAGCGUGAUGACGGUACCUGCAGAAUAAGCACCGGCUAACUCCGUGCCAGCAGCCGCGGUAAUACGGAGGGUGCGAGCGUUGUCCGGAUUUAUUGGGUUUAAAGGGUGCGUAGGCGGCCCGUUAAGUCCGGGGUGAAAGCCCGCUGCUCAACAGCGGAACUGCCCUGGAUACUGACGGGCUUGAGUACAGACGAGGUUGGCGGAAUGGACCGAGUAGCGGUGAAAUGCAUAGAUACGGUCCAGAACCCCGAUUGCGAAGGCAGCUGACUAGGCUGUUACUGACGCUGAGGCACGAAAGCGUGGGGAGCGAACA
rnacentral:rRNA from 1 species